GCCGGCGUAGGCCGACAGGUACUGCAUGGCAGCGGACUCGGAAGCCGAAGCGGCGACGACGAUGGUGUAUUCCAUCGCGCCGGCU
rnacentral:tRNA from 1 species